rnacentral:rRNA from 1 species
GACGAACGCUGGCGGCGUGCUUAACGCAUGCAAGUCGAACGGUGAAGCGCCUUCCUUUUUGGUGGGUGUGGAUGAGUGGCGAACGGGUGAGUAACACGUGAGUAACCUGCCCCCUUCUUCUGGAUAACCGCAUGAAAGUGUGGCUAAUACGGGAUAUUCUGGGUCUGUCGCAUGAUGGGUCUGGGAAAGAUAUUGUUUCGGUGGGGGAUGGGCUCGCGGCCUAUCAGCUUGUUGGUGGGGUGAUGGCCUACCAAGGCGGUGACGGGUAGCCGGCCUGAGAGGGUGGACGGUCACACUGGGACUGAGGCACGGCCCAGACUCCUACGGGAGGCAGCAGUGGGGAAUAUUGCACAAUGGGCGCAAGCCUGAUGCAGCGACGCCGCGUGAGGGAUGGAGGCCUUCGGGUUGUGAACCUCUUUCGCCAGUGAAGCAGGCCUGCCUCGUUUGUGGGUGGGUUGACGGUAGCUGGAUAAGAAGCGCCGGCUAACUACGUG